UAUGGCCAUAUAAUGUUGAAAACUGAUUCCCAUGUGAUCACUGAAGUUAAGCAAUGUAGAAACUGGUCAGUACCUAGAUGGGUGACCACUUAGGAAUACCAGGUGCUAUA